CUUAAACUUAUGAGUUGGGUCCGAUUCGCUGUUUUAAGAUUUCACGAUUUGAUAAACAGAAGUACUGAAAUUCAGCGCAGACCGUUAAAUGUAACAGCUAAGCUCAUCAAAGAAACAGCAGCUUUCAAAACAGAGUCCAUUAUUCGCACUAACACCCAUUAUUAACGAUAGAGGACUACUAUGUCUUGGAGGUCGAAUUGAUAACGCUCUGUAUCUACCUGUUUGCAUGAGAAGUCCAGUAAUUCUACCAAAGAAUCAUCCAUUGUCACGACUAAUAGUUCGCCAUUUUCAUGAAACAUUUUAUCAUCAAAAUCAGGAAGCUAUUAUCUGUGCAAUCCGUGCUAAAUAUUGGAUACCAAACGUUCGGAGCCUUCUUAAAUCUGUGAGAGGUGAAUGUCAGUUCUGCAAAAAUGCAGCAGUUACUCCAAGGCCUCCUCUCAUGGGGCAAUUACCAAUUGUUCGUUUAUCACCAUAUGUUAGAGCUUUCUCGUACACCGGUCUUGACCAUUUUGGCCCAGUAAUAGUGUCCAUCGGACGACGGCGAGAAAAGAGGUGGGUGGCCCUGUUCACCUGCUUAACGAUUCGAGCGAUACAUUUAGAGGUGGCCAAAGAUUUGUCAACUGAUUCUGUAAUUUUAUGUCUGCGCAAUUUUGUCAACCGUAGAGGAAUUCCCGUCCGUAUAAGAAGCGACAGAGGGACAAAUUUCAUCGGAGCAAGCAAGGUCGAAUGGUUGCAUGUUUCUAAAGAUGUAGAACGGGAAUGUACUCGGCUUGGAAUUGAGUGGGUUUUUAAUCAACCCGCGGAUCCAUCGGCAGGUGGGGCAUGGGAGCGCAUGGUUCAAAGCGUUAAACGUGUGUUGGCAUUUACUUUGAAGGAAAAGGCUCCUCAAAUUGAGACAUUGCAAAGCUUACUUAUCGAAGCUGAAAAUUAAAUAAAUUCUCGUCCACUUACACAUUUAUCAAUUGAAAGUUGUGAUGAUGACCCGUUAACUCCUAAUCAUUUUCUGUUGGGAUGCCCAAACUACAUACAAACUCCUACUGAAUCAGAUAAAGUAUGUUUGCAAAAACAAUGGCAAAUUUUACAACAGCUAAAACAGACGUUUUGGCGCAGAUGGGUAUUAGAGUACCUACCAACACUUACGCGUCGUACUAAGUGGCACAAAAGAGUUAAUCCCAUUCGUGUUGGAGAUGUUGUUAUUAUCUGCGAUACUAAUGAAAAUUUGCGGGAUUGGAGACGUGGAAUCGUACUGGAAACAUUUCCCGGACCAGAUGGACAAGUUAGGUCAGCGCUUAUUAAGACAUCAACGGGUAACAUAAGGGGGCCCGCCUCAAAGUUAGCAGUUCUUGAUGUUUCUGGUGACCCUCAACUCGCAGAUACUCCUUCGGUUCACGGGGGGCGGGAUGUUGCUGAAAAACGUACCUAGCUUUAUGUUUCAAAUUGUUGCUGAAAAAUGUACCUAGCUUUAUGUUCAAAUAUUAUUUUAAUCGUAAGGCAACUCUGUUUAAGCACACUAAAAGAUGUAAUGGCUUCUUCCGGUUUUACUUUCUUACGAGUAGCCUAGGAGGAACCACGGAUAAAUAUUAAAACUCACUCAUUCACUCUCUUUGCCUUCUUUGAAUAAAGUGUUUUGAUAUAUUCGUGUUUCUUUUAUCAAUUGCCGCCGCAACAGUCCAGGAACCAUGGUUUGCAUCGGGUAAAGUGGUCGAUGAUUUGAAGGUUGAGCCAGUGGAAGAUGCCAAGGAUGAGUCUGACUCCUUUCAUCCUGCUAUAUGCCACAUGAUUGCGAGGUGUCAACGGCAGAGCUCAAAAGGAUGGCGGUGGAGGGCGCUAGUGCUAACGCCCAUCAUACGAUUUGGGACAGCCCCGACAUCAAAAAGCGAGAUGAGUCUCUACUCGAUUAUAUUUUACAAAGUAGUCUAGUGGUAACUAAUGGAAGUGAAGAACCUACCUAUGUAGGACCCACCUCUAGAAACGUUCUAGGAAUAACAUUGUACACAAGUAAAGAUACAUACAUUGGUAGAAAAAUGGAGUGUGCUAAUUUCACGUCGUUCUCUGAUUAUAAGUACAAUAUUAAUAACUUCAACUGUAUGUACAUCUACUUCUCCAUUAGAUCGAAAGCAAAGAUCAGAAAUAAGGUUAGGAAAAAUCCCAGGAAUACAAACUAUAGGAUCUCUACAGGCAUAUACUAUUAGGCAAGAGAUUUAGACCUUGAAAAGGACGUGACUGCAUUCACGAAUGCCCUAAAUACGGGUCUUCCUUACGCAUAGCCUACUCUGUGACUCAAGCACAAAACGAAGACUCUUUGGUGGAACAAGGAGCUUGGGUCUUGCAGACGCAAAGUACGGGAAUGCUUCAACUAGGCUAAGUUAGCAGAAAGCGAGGGCUGGUGGAACAAAUAUAAAGAUCUUCUAAGAGACUAGAAGAAGUUAGGCGCGGGGCAAAGCGAGAAUCAAGAAAAACUUGUAUUUCCGUACCGUAGCUAAACUAAAAGUAGAACAAAAUUGUUUCCUUUUUUAUUUACCUACAAUGUACAUAUUUAUAAGAAUAAACCGAAAUUAAAAUAGUAAAUUCA
rnacentral:lncRNA from 1 species